AUGUAUGUGGUGGAGAGUAGAGGAGGAUGUUAAGGCACAUGGCGUACAAUGUUGAUGACUCUGGAGAGGCUUGGUCGGAUUCACCCUCGAUUGGAUUUAGCAUUUUGCACAGUCGGAAUGAACUCCAGUGCUAACUUUGAUAAUUUUUCGUGCGGGUUUGUUACUAUUAUCUUAGAUUUGUUUUCUUGUUAAGGUGGGUUGUAUAUAUCAAUUGUGA
rnacentral:lncRNA from 1 species